UCCAUACGUCUGCAAAUCU
rnacentral:snRNA from 1 species